CUUGGUUGGCCUUGCCCGGAU
rnacentral:siRNA from 1 species